rnacentral:rRNA from 1 species
CUAGCGACUUCAGAGUUUGAUCCUGGCUCAGGACGAACGCUGGCGGCGUGCCUAACACAUGCAAGUCAACGGGGCACCUUCGGGUGCUUAGUGGCGAACGGGUGAGUAACGCGUGAGAAACCUGCCUUUCAUGGGGGGCAACAGUUGGAGACGACUGCUAAUACCGCAUAAUGUCAUUUGGGGGCAUCCUCGAAUGACCAAAGAUUUAUUGCUGAAAGAUGGUCUCGCGUCUGAUUAGCUAGAUGGCGGGUAACGGCCCACCAUGGCGACGAUCAGUAGCCGGUCUGAGAGGAUGAACGGCCACAUUGGGACUGAGAUACGGCCCAG